rnacentral:tRNA from 1 species
AGUUAAUGAACUUGAAAUAAGUUUAUGUCUUGAAAACAUAAUAUAGAAAUUGAAAUUUUCUAUUAACUU